rnacentral:rRNA from 1 species
UACGAAGGGUGCAAGCGUUACUCGGAAUUACUGGGCGUAAAGCGUGCGUAGGCGGUUUUUUAAGUCCGUUGUGAAAGCCCUGGGCUCAACCUGGGAAUGGCAGUGGAUACUGGAAAGCUAGAGUGCGGUAGAGGGUAGUGGAAUUCCCGGUGUAGCAGUGAAAUGCGUAGAGAUCGGGAGGAACACCAGUGGCGAAGGCGGCUACCUGGACCAGCACUGACACUCAAGCACGAAAGCGUGGGGAGCAAACAGG